UUACAUGGCUAAGCAAGGGUGGAUUGCUGUGUUGGUGGCACUGUUGCGGAGAGCACCACGUGUAGCUGAUGCCCAGCACCAGCUUUAUGUCCUAACACAUUAGGCUUAGGAGCAGGAUUUGGAUGUUUACAUUUAGGGAGCUGGUUUGUGGGUCAGCAGAGAGUGCUGUCCAGUGAGGCUUUACAGAGAUAGAGCUUUAGGUGUGUAAGUAAGUGAGGAUAUCCAUAUUGGUGGUACUUUUCUGUAGGGCACCCUGUGUAGGAAAUGCCCAGCUCCUGAUUUCUGUCCUAACACUUUAGGCUUACGAGCAAGGUCUGGAUGUUUACAUUUAGGAGCCUGCUUUGCGGGUCAGCAGAGUGUACUGGGGAGUGGUUGGACUUGCUGAUGUUAAAGGUCUUUUCCAAGCCGGUUGGUGCUAUGGCUCUGUGAUUAUGCAGUAGUUAUUACAGUGUUCUUAUCUCAGCCUGUGGGUAUUACACUUCUAUAAUUCUCCUCCCCAUUCGCGUGGCGGAGUUUCAGUGGUUCAGCGAGGACACGGAUUGAGAACCAAGGUGGUCAAGGGCCUUGUGUGGAGAAAGAGUUGGUUAACGCAUUGUGCUGGGUCUAAGUGUUUUGUUUCUCUCAGAGACAAUGGCAAUGCCGGGCAGGGUUGAUGGGAACCACGUAGGUCAUGUGGGGAGAUGGGUUAGGGAAUGGCGAGUGUGUCAGGGCUUGUCUUGGAGGGAUGUGGGGAGUUGGGAGUGGGAAUGUGUGGGACUUGCCUGGUGGGAACGGCAGGGAGCACAGCAUGUUGCACUCUAAGCAUCAUCAUGUGUCUUUGAUCCCUGCAGGUUACACAUGGGCUGAAGGGUGUGCAGAUUGAGAGCAAGGGCCGCCUAUCUCAGAGAAGGGCUAUGGCAGCUACACCAGUGUGUGGCCUCGAACAAGCUGGGCAACACCAAUGCCAGCAUCAUCCUGUAUACAAUGCCAACCCAGCAAGGUGCCAAAUGGCACAAGUUAUGAGUGGUGAGGAUACAUCAGAUGAUGAUGAGGAGACCUGCAUUGGCCCAUGCAGGAGGGCACUGCCUGGCACUGGUUGGUGGCGGUCACCUUGGGUGCUUAGGGAUGAACAGCGGACGGUGGAGAGACAGACAGGAUAUUGUUGGAGCGCAGGCCCAAGGAGUGGCCCCAUGCAGGUAAGGACACACUCUGGGGACACAGUGUAGGGUAUUUGCAGGUUGUCCUAUUGGGAGGGAUACAGGCAGUAGUUAAGGGGCGCAGGCAGUGGCAAGUUGGGAAGUGUAGGUGUCAAGUGGCGUAGUUGUCAAGUUGGGUAUUGCAGGUGUCAGGCUGGGUGGUUUACGUGGCAAUUGAGGAAGAGCAGGUGGCAAUUUGGCUAGUGUAGGUGUUAGCUUGUAUAAUAAAGAUGUUAGGUUGGGUAGUGUCAAUGUCACUGGGUAUUAUAGGUGUCAGGUUGGAUACUGCUGGUGGCACUUUGCGAGCUAUUGGUGUUAGGUCAGGUAGUAUAGGUGGCACUUUGGGAACAAUAGGUGCUAGGAUGCAUAGUGUAGGUGGCACUUGAGGUAGCAUAGGUGUUAGAUUGAUUCUUGUAGGUGGCACUUUGUGUACUAUAGGUGUUAAGUGUUAGGUUGGAUAUCAUAGAUGGUAUAUUGGGUAUAGUAGGUGUCAGGCUGAGUGGAGUAGGUGGCACUUGAGGUGGUGUUAGAUUGGAAAUCAUAGGUGUUAGGCAGGGUGCAGUUGGUGGCACUUUGGGUAGUGUAGAUGUUAGGUUGGAUGCUGUGGGUGGCACUUUGCAUACUAUGGGUGUUAGGUUGGGUAGAGUAAGUGUCAGGGUGGGUAGUGUAGGUGGCACUUCAGGUAUUGUAGGAGUCAGGCCUGGUAGCGUAGGUGGCAUGUUAGGUAGUGUUGGUGGCACUUGAGCUGGCGUUAGAUUGGAUAUCAUAGGUGUUAGGUUGGGUAGUUUCAGUGUUACCUUGGGAACCGGAGGUGUUAGGUAUCAUAAGUGGUACUCAGGGAACCAUAGGUAUUAGGUUGGGUAUCAUAGGUGGCACUUUGCAUACUAUAGGUGUUAGGUUGGGUAUCAUAGGAGGCACUUUGGGAACCAUAGGUGUUAGGUUGCGUAUUAUAAGUUGUACUUAGGGAACAAUAUGUGCUAGCCUGGGUAUCAUAGGUGGCACUUAGGGAACCAUAGGUGUUAGGCUGGGUAUCAGAGCUGGCACUUUGCAUACUAUAGGUGUUAAUUUGGGUAUCAUACGUGGCACAUUGGGAAACAUAGGUGUUAGGUUGGGUAGCACAGGUGGCAU